AAGUCGUAACAAGGUAACCGUAGGUGAACCUGCGGAAGGAUCAUUAACACGUAUCCAACGUUAAACAACCCUUGACCAGCUUUUGAGUCAGGGACCUCUGCCGAAACGGCUGUUCAGUACCGAGCGCGGUGUAAGCGACCUGGCAUCCCCAAGCGAUCAGUGUCUGAAAGUGUCAUUGAUUGUGUAAGGAUGGCGCAGUAAACGAUUGCUAGAGGCCCACACGGCCGGCAACCGGGUCCCAGGGCUCACGCCCCUUUAUCACCCCACAGUUUCCGACUGGGCAGCCGAUAAUACGGACGCCGUAAAAAACUGAACAACUGUUAACAAUGGAUAUCUUGGUUCUC
rnacentral:misc_RNA from 1 species